rnacentral:lncRNA from 1 species
GUCAAUUUUGACCAAACCCCAUUAUGUUUUAUGGAUCUUUAGUAUAUCUUUUUAUUAUAUGGUUUAUUGUAUUUUAAAGUUUACAAUUAUUGAUCUCCGCAGGACAUCUUUUUAUUUUGAUCCCAACAAACAAGUUCUACAAGAAAUAUUUUAUAUUGAAGUCCUCCUCACUCUCCAACCGCACAAAUCUUCACUCCCACAAAGUUUACUUUAUAUUUCUGGUGGAUCGUUUUAUAUAUCUUUGUUGCUCAUCACGUGUUUGUGUACAAAUUACCUAAAAGGCAAUUAGGGUCAAAUCUUUCUAUAAUAGCAGUAUUUGUUUAAAAUUUUUAUGAUUAUAUUAUAGUGAGAUAUUGCUAUAUAUGUAUAUUAGUAUUUAAUGUUUAGAUCUUAUUUAGAUACUAUAUAUAAACAAAAGUAUGUAAAAUUAGAAAGGAUGUGAAUGUAAAGAAUGACAAACACUUAUAGUCUUUCCCCGUGAAGUUAUGGCCAUGCACCAUUACACAAUAUAUAUUUUUUAUGAAUAUCUGUAUUUGAGUUUUACUAUGUUUAUUUAAUAAUGAAUUAAUUAAGGUAAAAAAAGAUAAUACAAAGGUGAUGAUAAUUCAGUUGAGCAACCACAACUGUAUAUAUAUCGAUGCGCCGCAAAUGGAACAAAAAUUUUCUAACCUAACUUUAUAAAUUUCUUGCAAGUUUGUACAAAAAACAGAUAUAGAUAGUAAAAGUGUAAACAUUUGAUAUUAUAUUUCUCUUUUGACAUUCAAUACUCACUUUAAUUGGUUAAAUUUUAAGGGGUAAAACAUUUCUUAUUAAAAAGGAUUAUAAUCUUAAGGCACAAACUUAAAUCUUCUAGGUAAGAAUGAAGUACUUAUCGACCACUUCACCAUAACAUUUUGUGGUCUAAACUCUAAAGUGAAACGAAAUAUAUAGUUCUAAGCAUUGCCUAUAAAUAGUCAGUGGUGGAUUCAUGAUUUUAAUUGAAGGAGUUCGAAACAUAAAAAUAAAAUAUAGUGCUUGAAAUUUGAAACUUCAAGGUGCAUUUUAACACCUAAACAACCGAGCCAAUUCAUGUGUUCACAUAAUUCAGAAUCGAUCGCUAAAUAUACAUAAAAUUCAAAAAAUUAUCUUCAUUUAUAGUGUAUUUUUUUGUAGAUAAGGUUCAGUUACACUUUCAUGAGUCAUGAGGCUCCAGAUCCGCUCCUAUAUAUAGAUAGUGUCAAAUUUCUUAUAAUACACGUCAAUGUAAGCAUAUUGUAUGAUUUUAUAAUAUUGUUAACUAGCUAUUUUUAAUACUCAAACUCGCAAUCUAUAAUUAAAAAGGAACAAGUAAAAACAACAAUCUUUAAGUUUAGUAGUUAAAACAUUUGAUGAUGACACUCUUUUAACUUUUUCUUACCAACUAAUUUGCAAGUAGAUAAUGUAUUCAGAAAGUGUCAUUUUAUUAUACGAUAACUUGUAAGUAAUCUAUAUAUAUAUAAUUUAAAUAAAAUGGUAGAAUUUAACAAAUUCAAAACCUUCGUAAAUGGACAAAGCCGGUCAACUAUAUUAAUUAAGUGGUAGAUAAUUUUCACACUAUUGCAUUAUUUAACAAUACUUCAUCCGUCUCAAAAUAUUUAUUCAUAUUUCAUUUUUUGAAAGUUAAUUUGGCUAAAUUUUGAAGCUAAAUUAAAUUAAUAUGAUAUUUUCAAAUUUUAGCUUAGAUGUUCAAGAACUUCAUGAAAAAUAUUAUAAAUUGUAUUUUUUUCUAAUAUCAAUAUGGUAAAAACAUCCUAACAGUUGAUCAAAGUACAUUCAAUUACUUUGCUAUAAUAAAUUGAACAUUGUAUGUGGGUAAAUAUUUACCAUAUUUAGGACUCAAUUUAAUGAAUCAAUCGAGACGUAAGUAUGAUGUAAUUAGAUCACGUUAGAGUAUUGCUUUUGCUAAAUUUAUUAGCUCCACUAAUUUGAAAUUCCAUGGUGUAGUGUAGGAUAUAAAUUCUUAGUAAGAUUGAUUUAAAAUAUAAAAAGUAAAUACUGAUGAAAAAAAAAAUCAACAUAUAAUAAACAUAUAUAAAAAUAUAAAUAAAAGGUAACUUAUAGAAAUUUCACUAUUUUACAUUUAGGAGCUAAUUACUUAAAUGUACUCUAGUUUGCAAUAAGUAGAUUUUGGUACGUUCAAAUACACUGAAUCUAAGUGGAUUCACAUGUAUCUGAGAAACAAAGACAAACUCACAUCCUUUGCCUCCCUCACACAGUGGCGGAGGGAGGAUUUUCAUCAAGGGGGUUCAAAAAAAAAAUUAAUCACGUAAAUAAUAUCUACAAAUAAAUUAAACGGGUCGAAUCGGAUAUAAAACGGGUCGGAUUAAACUGUCGAAUCAAGAAGAAAAGGGUUUUUUAAUAUUUGACUUUAUAAUUAGGGAUUAAACUAAUAAAUCCUAAAUUUCCAAUCAUCGUUUUAUUUUUUUGGAACUAAACAUCAUUUUCUGAUUGCAUUAUUAUAUUUUUUAAAUAAAUUAAAAACGCCUAAAAUAUAAGCUGAUAAAAGAAAUGCCUCUGCCCGGAUUCGAACACGCGACCUCGCGUGCAGUAGAGUGAAUUCCUGAACCCCCAACGCCACUGAGCUACGCCUUUGGUGUAUGUUCAGGGGGUUCAGUACUAUAUAUAAACACGUAUAUUAAAAAUUUAAUCUUAUAUAUAUAGUGUAAUUUUUCGACGAAGGGGGUUCGGAUGAACCCCCUUCGUCCUACGUAAAUCCGCCCCUGCCCUCACAUCUUGCACGCCACUCUCCUAUGUGUUUGUAUCUCAGAUACAUACGAAUCACACCAGACACAUAUAAAUACAUGUCUAAUAUGUAUCUAGUGUAAUUCAAUGUACCUGGAAUAUACAAAUCUCUUUCCCCACCUCACUCACAUCUCCCUAUUUCAAUGUAUUUGUUGAUAGCAAAAAUACAAAUAUUAUCUUCCUUAAUAUAACCACCCCCUCUUUGGAUUUCACUACUUUGACUCUAACCAGAAAUUCUACACGUUUUGUUUAUGAAUAUAAUAAAUGAUCUAAAAAAAUAUCUUCUUGUUCUGGAUUCUUCGUCAUUUUUAAAAAUAAAAUAAAAAACUACAACUCUACAAAUUGAUUAUUUCCACGAUUUUAUACACGUUAUGCAAAUGUAAAGAUAAGACAUUAAAUAUUUUGGUUAUGCUUCUAUCAAAAUUGGUUUUGAGAUGGUGUGUUGAUCAUGGAUUCAAUAUUCUUACUAUUGAAUCUGAUUUCAUGAUUGUGACAAUGACAUUCAUUCUUUGCUAGUUCAACCAUAUUUUUAGAGAAGGGAACUCUACUACUGAUCUUUAAGUAGUUUGUGGAGGAUAAGAUGCACACAAACUUUAUCUCCCUACCUUUGUAAGGUAGAUACGAUAGACUAUUUCCGCUACAUCCUCGACUCAAAAGAGAAUUAUCUUUGGGAUUCUUCAUAUCGGGACUGCUCAACUGAAACUAAUUUUGGCCAAUAUUCAAGUCCUUGGGCCUAAUACAACGAUAGCCCAAUUAUGACAUCCUUAACCCAACUAUAUAGUUUGUUUUUAGUAUUUUAAUCCUCAGUUUACUUGCUUAAAUAAGCAAUUCUUUGUACAAUUUUAUUCAGAGAGAGAAAUACAUAAAAUAUCUCAAACUUGUUCUUCAAGAUUUUCUGUGAAAUUUUUGAGAAAAUAAUCUUAUUUGAUUGGUUUAUUAAUUAUCUUUUCUAGUAAAUUGAACUAAGUAAAUUCAAAAAUCGGCAACGUUAUUUAUUAUAUUCUAAAUAUGUAGUGUAAUAUUAGUAACUCAAUCUUUAUAUUUUUUUAAAGAAUCUUGACAAUUUUUAAAAUAAUAUAUGAUUAAAUGUGAACAGAUUUAGAAUAAACAAAUCAAGAAGUAAAAUAAAGAAGAAUACUGCAAAGCAAAAACGAAAAAAAACACAAAAGAUUAUAAUUAAGAAAGCUUAAUGAAGCAGAACACUUAACGAGGCAUGACAAGGCAUUUUAAUUUAGUGAAUUAAGGUUAGUCUUUUUCUUUCUGUUCCACUUUGUUUGUCAUCUGUAAUUUUCACAUAUUUAUUUCUUCAUGUUUUGAAUCCCUUAGUAAAAACUUUAUUUUCACCACAUAUAGUGCAAUACAACACUUAAAUAGUUGCAAUCUCAUAUAUAUGAAUUAUAGAUUUAUAGCCUCUUACAAUCAUUGUAAAUCGGUCCAUGUGGAUCAAAAUGACUUGCAAAGCGACCAUAUAAUAUUUGUGGGAAGCAUUGAAGAUCAAGUACAAAGAGCAUGUAAAGACCGGGUUCCGUCGUCAUAGAGAAGCCAAUGGGAAAAUUUUUGGGUCAGAAAACUUUUUCGUAGUAAUUUGGAUUUUUCCAACCUAGUCCAAAUUUGGACGGAAUCGGAGUCAUUAAGGUGUAGGCAAAUGGUAACAAUUGGGUGAUUUAUUUAAAAUUUUGAUUACAUGAGGGGAUAGAUAACUCGUUAAGGAAUCCGUACGGCUUUACGGAAUUGAAUUCGGGCGAUUAGAAAUCCCAGAAUCGAUCUUAGCGUGAAUGGUAUUUUCUGAGCAUCGUUGGUUAGAGGUGUGUUAAAUGGGGAUUUUGGAAUUUUUAAAAUAGCUCACUGGUUCGUGCAAGCCGCCUUGGCAGGGAUUUUUGCCACUCUGGCGGGGACGCUACAACGGGGUGAGGGCCGCUGUGGCGGGCUCGAUGCGACUUAAGGUCGUUAAUAAACCCCUAAACGACCUUAUUAUGAACUUUUCGACUUUUAGAGCUAAGGAACGAACCCAGGCGACUCCUACUCGUUUUUCACCAUUCUUAAGGCUAAAGGUAAGCUUUUCACUCCCCGAAUCCGAUUUUCAAUCUGUAGAAUGUAGUAGAAUGGGUAAUUAAUGAUGGGGGAGGGUUUUGAUCUAGAAUCUAUGGUGGAAACAACCCUAAUUGGGAUAAUUAGGAUCAUGGGUAUGAUCUAGGGUUCAUAGAAUUGUUAGUGAUUCGGGUAAUUAGUGAUUGUUUAUUGAUUCCCGUGUUAUUAUGAUUAUUUGUAGACCAAGAACAAGCGGAACGGAUCAGGAAAGGGAAAGAUCAAGUUUCUUAGGAUUUCAAGAUUGUUUCGAGGUAGGUGAUGGCUGUGAUUCUGUGAUUGUGUGAUAUAUGUUUGUUCUUGCUUCAUUAUGAUACUUGCAUGUAUUUGAAUGUUGCAUUAUUGAUCACACUUGAUAUAAAUGAGAUAGAUAUAUGAUGAUUGUCAUGAAACCAUGACUUAAAUGUGUGAUCUUGAGGAUGUACUUGUGAUUGUGAUUGUGAUGUAUUGAAUGCAUCGGUUGCCACGUUCCAACAUAACUAAGUUGGAUAGGUUGCACGUUCCGGCAUAACAAUGGCAUCGGUUGCCAUGUUUUGGCAUAAUUAUCGGAUCGGGUACCACGUUCAGGUAUGUUAACUGUUUGGGUUUGGGUUCCAUGAAAGGACCAAUGAUUUGAUAUAAUUGUGUAUCUUGAGAAAUGUGAAGUUGUUCGUUGUUACUAAAUGUUACUAAUAUUGUAUAUGUUCGAUAUAUGCAUGUGAUUAUAUUAUUGUGAUGACUUAUAUAUGUUGCACUUAGUGGGAUAGCCGCGUGAUCCUACCAGUACACUAUGGUUAUGUACUGAUACUGCACUUGCUCUUAUUUUUGUUGAGUACAGGGCAUCUUCAAGCGACUACUGACAAACCUCGCUUAGGAGAUCAGUGAUCUUUCGAAUUCAAGGGUGAGUCAAUUCUUCCAGGCUACCAUGGGUUCUCUUUCGUCUAUGUCUACCAUUUUCGGACUUAGACUAUGUACUAGUUAGUUGAUUAGUUCAUUUGAUUGGGGUUGCAUCCCUUCUUGUUUAGACUUGUUGAACUUUAGAUGUUUUGGUACAUUGACUUUCAGGUUCUAGGUUAUUUCUUCCGCAUUGUUUAGUUCGUUGUUAGACUUUUGUUGGAGUUUAUGGGAACUCCUUAUUUCUUUCCUUAGUAUUUAAAUUUCUUUCGUAUCCUUAAAUGCCUUAGUUUUAGAUUAGUUGCUUGGUUUGAGUUGUAGUAGUGGUUCUCCCAUCGGAGUGUUAAUGUGGGUGCCAAUCACGACGAUCUGGGUCAUGACAAAGUUGGUAUCAGAUCCUAGGUUCGUUGAUCUUGAUGUGCCAAAAUGAUUCUAGUAGAGUCUCGCAGAACGGUACAGGGACGCCUUUACUUUUCUUCGAGAGGCUAUAGGACUUUAGGAAAUCUCUCUAUUUUCUCUUGUCUCCUUUCGUGCUGUAACUUGAUUCCAAUUGGUAUCUAUCGAUUCGAAUUGGUAUCUAACAUCAUUCACUCUUUUGUCCACAGAUGGUUAACACUAGGUCUAAUGGCGUCAGCCCGUAGCUCCCGUCAAUGCUCCAGCUGAGAAAUUUGCAGCGAGAGGUCGCGGUCGAGGCAGGAGUAGAGGAAGAGCUAGGGUUAUAGGCCGAGAAAAAGUGGCGCCUGCUGGGAAUGAGGUACCGGUUGAGAAUGCCCUUGUGAAUGAGAACCCUUUGGUGCAUCGUGAAGAGUUAGAAGAGGAUAUUGAGGUUGAUAAUGUUGAGGAGGUUGGACAAGAGGAAGAGGUGCAGACUGAGACUACAAAUGUUCCUCUCAUAGAUCCAGUCUUAGCUCGACAGAUCAUGUCAUUCUUGAAAGGGUUGGUUGGUCCUGGAGUGCUUCCUUCUGCUCAAGCGACUCAAGUUCCUACUAAUCCUCAUAUUGCUAGCAUUGCGCCCAAGACGGGUGGAACGAGAGGUAAUAAUGUUUUCUUCUGUCCUUUGUUGGGUUCUGUUAUGACUGGUAAUGAGCAUGAAAUGUUGAUUAAGUUUUUGAAGGUAAAGCCUCAUGUGUUUCUUGGUUCUGAGAGUGAGGAUGCUUAUGAGUUCAUCUUAGAUUGCUAUGAGAGGCUUGAUAAAUUGGGCAUUGUUCAUCAACAUGGGGUUGAGUUUUUUGUCUUUCCAACUUCAAGGUGAGGCCAAGCAGUGGUGGAGAGCUUAUAUGGAAUGCAGAUCUUCUACUUUACCUCCACUUACUUGGACUCAAUUUCAUGCUCUGUUCUUGGAAAAAUAUGUGCCUAGAACUUUGAGAGAUUGUAAGAAAGAUGAAUGUAUGGCUUUGGAACAAAGUGGUACGUCUGUGGCUGCUUAAAAGGCCAAGUUUCACGAUUUGUCUAGAUAUGCUACUCAAUUGGUAACUAUUGAGGAGAAGAGGAUUCUACUUAUUUAUUAGGGGACUGAAUUCUGAGUUGCAAGUACUAUUUGUUCAUAUGACUUCUGCAGAGAGGAGCUUCAAUGAGGCUUGGAAAAAUAUGUGCCUAGAACUUUGAGAGAUUGUAAGAAAGAUGAAUGUAUGGCUUUGGAACAAAGUGGUACGUCUGUGGCUGCUUAAAAGGCCAAGUUUCACGAUUUGUCUAGAUAUGCUACUCAAUUGGUAACUAUUGAGGAGAAGAGGAUCUACUUAUUUAUUAGGGGACUGAAUUCUGAGUUGCAAGUACUAUUUGUUCAUAUGACUUCUGCAGAGAGGAGCUUCAAUGAGGUAACAGAUUAUGUUAAGAAAGUGGAUGGGGUGAGGCGAGACGGUCAGACUAAGGCAUUGGCAAAAAGGGCUAAGAUUCCAGGCUACUUUCAAGGUUCUUAUUCCAGAGGUUCAGGGAGGCCAACGCUUGCAGCCAAGCCAAUUCAGUCCGAUAUGCCCGCCUCUACAGGUAAUUACUCAGGAACUCCAUCUCAUCAUUUUAAGGAUAGCCAGAGAGUCGCCCAUUCGACGGGUGACAGACCAUCUUUUGAUCGUACUUGCUACAAUUGUGGAGAACCUGGGCAUAUGAGGAGAUUGUCCCCACUUACGUGUAUUAGAUGUCGUGCAACAGCCUUCUAGAGCAGUGGUACCCGCGUGGAAUGGUAAUAAUGGUAGAGAACGUCCAUAAGGUGGGCGAGGAGGUAAUCAGCGAGGUCGUGAAGGUAGAGGAUAUGGUAAUGCAGGCAGGGGUAAUGCGCAACCAGGCAGGGAAAUGGCUUGUCAAGAUGAUAGGGCUCAAUGUUAUGCUUUUUCGGGCAAAAAUGAGGCAGAGACGUCUGAUUCGGUGAUCACAGCUACUAUUUUUGUUUGUGACCGAAUGACUAAUGUGUUAUUUGAUCCAGGUUCUACUUAUUCAUAUGUAUCCGUGAGAUUUGCCUCAGAUUUUGAUAUGAGUUGUGAUUUUCUUAAUGCCCUUAUUCAUGUUUCUACCCCAGUUGGAGAGUCAGUCAUAGUUACCCAUGUCUAUCGUGCAUGUCCUAUUUUGUUUAUGGGUUUUCAGACUUGGGCUGAUUUGGUGAUUUUGGAUAUGACUGAUUUUGAUAUAAUCUUCGGCAUGACUUGGUUGUCCCCCUAUUAUGUUGUACUAAGUCUGUAACUCUAUAAAUUUUGGAAAGGGGAAAAUCAGAGUGGGAAGGGGUGUACAAGCCUAAGCAAGCUAAGAUUAUAUCCUCCAUUCGGGCUAGUAAAUUAGUAUAGCAGGGUUGUUUGGCUUAUUUGGCUCAUAUUAUAGAUGUUGAGAUUGAAGCUCCAUCCAUUGGGUCUAUUCUUGUGGUGUCAAAAUUUAGAGAAGUGUUUCCUAAUGACUUGCCUGGUAUGCCUCUAGAUAGAGAUAUAGAUUUUUGCAUUGAUUUUGAGUCUGGUACUCGUCCCUUUUCCAUCCCUCCAUAUCGCAUGGCUCCAACAGAGUUAAGAGAGCUUAAAAGCUCAAAAUCCAAGAGCUUCUUGAUAAGGGAUUUAUUCUUCCUAGUGCUUCCCCAUGGGGGUGCUCUAGUUUUGUUGUUAAAGAAAAAAAAUGGUAGUAUGAGAAUAUGUAUAGAUUACCGGCAAUUGAAUAGGGUCACUAUUAAAAACAAGUACCCCUUUGCCUCGAAUAGAUGAUUUUUUUGACCAAUUGCAAGGGGCAACAAUUUUCUCUAAGAUUGAUCUAAGAUCCGGUUACCAUCAAUUGAAAAUUAGGCCUGAGGAUGUGCCCAAUACAACAUUUAGAACUCACUAUGGGCACUAUGAGUUUUUGGUUAUGUCUUUUGGUUUGACCAAUGCGCAUGCAGCUUUCAUAAGUUUAAUGAAUGAGGUGUUCAAGCCAUUUCAUGAUUCUUUCGUUAUAGUCUUUAUUGAUGAUAUUUUGGUUUAUUCGAAAAGUAAGGAAAAGCAUGCCGACCAUCUUCGUAUUGUUUUGGGUAUUCUAGGGAAGCAAAGAUUGUAUGCUAAAUUUUCUAAAUGUGAAUUUUGGUUGACUUCGGUUGCAUUUUUGGGACAUGUAGUUUCAAAAUAAGGGGUAAUGGUAGAUCCUCAAAAGAUUAAGGCGGUUAAGAAUUGGGUUCGGCCUAGCUCAGUGACAGAAGUUAGGAGUUUUGUGGGGCUCGCCAGCUAUUAUCGUCAUUUUAUGAAGAAUUUUGCUUCUAUUGCUACUCACUUGACUAAUUUGACCAAAAAGGAGAUACUAUUUGAAUGGACUGAAAAAUGCGAGGAGAGCUUUCAAAAGCUCAAGACUCUCUUGACCACCGCACCUAACCUAGCAUUACCAGUGGAAGAUAAGGAUUUUAUUAUUUAUUGUGAUGCUUCACAUUCUGAUUUGGGUGCUGUGUUGAUGCAGGAUAAAAAUGUUAUGCCUCAUGUCAAUUGAAGGUGCAUGAAAGGAAUUAUCUCACACAUGAUUUGGAGUUGGCAGCGAUAGUGUUUACUCUUAAGAUCUGACGACAUUACCUCUAUAGUGUUAAGUGUGAGGUAUUUAUCGAUUAUCGUAGUUUGUAGCAUGUGUUCACUCCAAAAGAUCUGAAUUUAAGACAGCGAAGGUGGAUGGAGUUACUUAAAGAUUAUGAUGUGACCAUUCAAUACCAUUCGGGCAAGGCUAAUAUGGUGGCAGACGCUUUGAGUCAAAAAAUGGUGAGUAUAGGUAGUUUAGCUUGCUUGAAUGUAUCCAAGUGACCCUUGGCUAAUGAAAUUCAGACCUUGGAGUCUAAGUUCAUGUAUUUGGGCAUCUCAGAAAGAAGUGGGUUGUUAGCUAGCAUUGAAGUAAGGGUCACAUUCAUGGAUGAGAUCAAUGCCAAACAAUUUGAAGAGGAAAAUUUGGAGGAGCUUAAAAAGAAAACUGCUAUUGGUAAGGCACAAGAGACCACCCUUGAUGCGGAUGGUGUGCUCAAUUUUAAAGGGAGAAUAUGUGUUCCUAGAGUAGAUGAGUUGAUUGAGAAAUUGUUGGCAGAGUCUCAUGGUUCGUGAUAUUUUAUCCAUCCGGGCAUAACCAAGAUAUACCUAGAUUUGAAGCGAAUUUAUUGGUGGCCGGGCAUGAAGAAGGACACAGCGGAGUUUGUGGCGAAGUGUACAAAAAAUUGUCAACAAGUAAAGUAUGAACAUCAAAGGCCGCAGUUUUGCUUCAAAGAAUGUCAAUUCCGGAGUGGAAGUGGGAAAGGAUAGCCAUGGAUUUUGUGGUUGGUCUUCCGAAGACUUUGGAAAAGUUCGAUUCUAUUUGGGUAGUGAUUGGUAAAUUGACUAAGUCAGCCCAUUUUAUUCCGGUAAUAAUAGAUUAUAAUGCUGAAUAAUUGGCUAAAGUUUAUGUGAAAGAGAUAGUGAGGUUGCAUGGGGUACCCAUCUGUAUCAUCUCAGACCGCGGUACACAGUUUACCUCCAAGUUUUGGAGGAAGUUACAUAAUGAAUUGGGCACACAACUCACUUGUAGUACAAAUUUCCAUCCACAGAUGGACGGGCAGUCAAAGAGGAAUAUUCAAGUGCUAGAAGACAUGUUGAGGGCAUGUGUGAUUGAUUUUGGANNNNNNNUGGGCAGUCAGAGAGGACUAUUGAAGUGUUAGAAGACAUGUUGAGGGCAUGUGUGAUUGAUUUUGGAGGGCAUUGGGAUAAAUUCUUACCUUUGUGUGAAUUCUCUAAUAAUAAUAGUUAUCAAUCCAGCAUUGAUAUGACACCAUUUGAGUCACUCUAUGGGAGGGGAUGUAGAUCACCCAUAGGAUGGUUUGAGGCUGUAGAUGUGAAACCAUUGGGGGUUUAUUUAGUAAAUAAUGCUCAAGAUAAGGUGAAGAGUAUUCAAGCUAAGUUUCUAGCAGCCCAGAGUAGACAAAAGAAGUAUGUGGAUCAUAAGGUAAGAGACAUGGCAUUUCAAUCCGGUGAAAAUGUUCUUCUUAAGGUAUCACCUAUGAAAGGGGUGAUGAGAUUUAGUAAGAAAGGUAAGCUAAAUCUGUUAUACAUUGGUCCCUUUGAGGUUCUUGAAUGUGCUGGACCGGUAGCGUAUAGAUAGACCUUACCUCCUAAUCUAUCGGGUGUUCACCCGGUAUUUCAUGUGUCCAUGUUGAAGAAGUAUCAUGGUGACGGGGAUUAUAUCAUUAAGUGAGACUCAAUUGUGUUAGACAAAGACCUCCAAUAUGAGGAGGAACCGAUUGCAAUUCUUGAUCGUGAUGUGCGUAAGUUGAAGACCAAGGAAAUUAAGUCCGUGAAUUGUUUGUCGAUUCAGGUACUACUUCAUUCCUUUCUUAGCCUACUUUUUUUCCUAAGUUAUUACUCGGGGACGAGUGAUGGGUAAAUUGGUAUCUACUGUAACGACCGAGUUUCGUUGUUAUAGAGAAGUCAACAGGGAAAUUUUUUGGGUUGGAAAACUUUUUCGUAGUAAUUUGGAUUUUCCCAACCUAGUCCAGAUUUGGAUGGAAUCGGAGUCAUUAAGGUAUAGGGAAAUUAGGUAACAAUCGAGUGAUUUAUUUAUAAUUCUGAUUACAUGAGGGGAUAGAUAACUCGUUAAGGAAUCCGUACGACUUUACGAAAUUAAAUUCGGGCUAGUAGAACUCUUAAAAUUGAUCUUAGCAUGAAGGGUUUUUUUUUAGCUUCGUUGGUUAGAGGUGAGUUGUGAAAUGGGGAUUUUGGAAUUAUUAAAUUAGCUCAUUGGUUCGUGCAAGCUGCCUUGGCAGGGAUUUUUGCCGCUCUGGAGGGCCGCUACAGCGGGGUGAGGGCCAUUGUGGAGGGCUCAACGCAACUUAAGGUCGUUAAUAAACCCCUAAAUGACCCUAUUAUGUACUUUUCAACGUUUAGAGCUAAGGAACGAACCCCAGGCGACUCCUACUCAUUUUUCACCAUUCUUGAGGCUAAAGGUAAGUUUUCACUCUACGAAUCCAUUUUUCGAUCCGUAUAACAUAAUAGAAUGGGUAAUUAAUGAUGGGGGAGGUUUGAUCUAGAUUCUAUGGUGGAAACAGCCCUAAUUGGGAUAAUUGGGAUCAUAGGUAUGAUUUAGGGUUCAUAGAAUUGUUAGCGAUUCGGGUAAUUAGUGAUUGUUUAUUGAUUCCCGUGUUAUUAUGAUUGUUUGUAGACUAAGAACAAGCGGAACAAAUUCGAAAAGGGAAAGAUCAAGUUUCUUAGGGUUUCAAGCUUGUUUCGAGGUAGGUGAUGGUUGUGAUGUAUGUUUGUUCUUGCUUCAUUAUGAUACUUGCAUGUAUUUGAAUGCUGCAUUAUUGAUCACACUUGAUAUAAAUGAGAUAGAUGAAUGAUGAUUGCCAUGAAAUCAUGACUUAAGUGUAUGAUUGUAAGGAUGUACUUGUGAUUGUGAUUGUGGUGAGUUGAAUGCAUCGGUUGCCACGUUCCGGCAUAACUAACUUGGAUCGGUUGCCACGUUCUGGCAUACCAAUGGGAUCGGUUGCCACGUUCCGGCAUAAUUAUUGGAUCGGGUACCAUGUUUCGGUAUGCUAACUGUUUGGGUGUUUGGGUUCCAUGAGAGGACCAAUAAUUUGAUAUAAUUAUGUAUCUUGAGAAAUGUGAAGUUGUUCGUUGUUAGUAAAUGUUGAUAAUAUUGUAUAUGUUUGAUAUAUGCAUGUGAUUAUAUUAUUGUGAUGACUUAUGUAUGUUGCACUUAGUGGGAUAGCCGCGUGAUCCUACCAGUACACUGUGGUUGUGUACUGAUACUGCACUUGCUCUUAUUUUUGUUGAGUACAGGGCAUCUUCAAGCGGCUACUGACAGACCUCGCUUAGGAGAUCAGUGAUCGUUCGAAUUCAAGGGUGAGCCAAUUCUUUCGGGCUGCCAUGGGUUCUCUUUCGUCUAUGUCCACCAUUUUUGGACUUAGACUAUGUUCUAGUUAGUUGAUUAGUUCAUUAGAUUGGGGUUGCAUCCCUCUUGUUUAAACUUGUUGAACUUUAGAUUUUUUUGGUACAUUGACUUUCAGGUUCUAGAUUAUUUCUUCCGCAUUGUUUAGUUCGUUAUUAGACUUUUGUUGGAGUUUAUGGGAACUCCUUAUUUCCUUCCUUAGUAUUUAAAUUGCUUUCGUAUCCUUAGAUGCCUUAGUUUUAGAUUAAUUGCUUGGUUUGAGUUGUAGUAGUGGUUCUCCCAUCGGAGUGUUAGUGUGGGUGCCAAUUACGACGGUCUGGGUCGUGACAGAGCACCACCCAAAAGUGAGGGUGCACGGCAAGUCUAAGUAGUAAGAAGAAAAUGAUACAAUGCAAUGUCAAGACUCAAGUGUAGUGAUGCAUAUCUGACCUAGCGAUACACAACUAUUGUCUCUUAAUCUGGGACUCAUAGGGGACAUAUAUGUCCAUGCAUUCAUCGCGGCGUACGACACGACUCUCGAUAAUAAAAUUCACCGUGACGUACGACACAUACUUCAAAUCAUAAUAUCAAUUGCGGCGGGCGACACGUCCCUCGAAUUGGUACAUCCUUUUAAUUCCUUAUUCCUCCUCAAUUCAUGUAACACGUGUCACAAUCAUGUCUCUGAACCAAUGCAAAUGACAUGUUCACCCAAAUAAUGAUAAAUGUCUAUUUCCAUAUCAAUGCACAAUUCACAACAAUACAAUUGUGAUAUAACAUCAACAAUGAAUCAAUAAACCUUUUAAAUCAUUUUCAACACAUCACACGUGCAUCAAUAUAUAAUCAAGUUGCCUUUUAUUACCCCCUUUUCAGCAUUAGGAUCAUUCAAUAUGAACAAGUCAAUCCAUCAUCAAAUCUCAUUACUUCUUAACAAAUACCAUAAGGAAUUACACUAUUCAAUAUCGGCUACAACAAAAAGUGAAUCUCUACCAACCACCACACACUCGGAAUUUCCAAACCAACUUCACCGACAGAUCAAUAUAUAUGACUUGGAGCAACUAUAGGGAGGAGUAAACCGAUAAUUUUAUUUUAAAAAGUCCAAAAAUGACCUUGUGGGUCAUUACACAAUUCUCAUGUUAAUUGACUCAAAAGACACAUGUGUCUAGCUACUUGUGCAUACCCAUAGUUGGAAACAUGCAUAAAUGUCAGUUGAAGCAAAGUGAAAUGGCACAUUAUGUAUUAUGUCUUUAUUUUAUUCUCUAUUAUCAAUGUAGAUAAAUGAAUUUUGAUUGUCAUUAAUAAAAAAAGUUUAAAAUUUAUAUAGAAUAUAAAUAAAUAAUCUUUCAAGAUUUUUUAUGAAAUAUAUAUUUAAUUUUAUUAAUUAUUUUUUAAUAUUAAUGCAUCAAAAUAUGUUUAUAUGGCUAUCAUAUUAUAGAUAUUUUUAAAAUUAAUAAAUUUUAUUUUUAUUUUGUUCAUUCAAGAAUGACAUUAGCUUAUAUACUCAAUCAAUAUUUUUUAUUUUUUUAGAUUAAUAUUUUAUUAUAGGCUAUCUGUUAUACAAAUGAAAAAAUAAUAAUAUUGUGAUUUUAAAAAAGUAUUAAAAAAAAGAUAAAGAUUGAUAAUGUAGGGUAGAAUAAACAUUUAAUAAAGUCAAUAAUGAAAAUGGGGGAAAUUAAAUGUUUCUCAAAGUUGAAGGGGGAGUUUGAUCUUUAAAAUAAAGUUGGGUGUAUAAAUGAUUUUCGCGCUAUUUAAUUAGCCAAUGAUUUUGAUAGCCCAUGGUUUUGUACAAAAAGUGGUUUUUAGUUGUCUAUAUAAGUAGAGAGGACUGUGAACAAUUUUUAAAUCAAGAAAAGAAUUUCAGUAAAACCCUAAAAACUCUCAUUUUUCCCUUUUCUAAAACAGCCACAGGUAUCCCGUUCUUCAUAUUUUCCGGUGAGCUCCACCACCCAAACACCACCUCCGCCCCCCCUCCUCUCCUUGUUUGCUGCUACCAGUAACCAAACCAACAACAUCCCAGAACCACAACCUAACCAUAUAUAUUUUGGCUUUGUUUAAUUAAUUGUUGAUUUGUUGUCUUAAUGUUUUCGGUUAAAUUUUAUUGAUUGUUGUUAUUUUUUGAUGAAUGUGUUUAUAUUUUUGGCAAUUUUUAGAUCUUUAAUAUGUUUGGCUACUAUUUGUCCAUUACUUCAUCAUUGUUGCUCUAUUUUUUAGUUUUAAUUUUUGAAUUUUUUUUAAUGCUAUUUAUCAAUUGUUUCCGUCGAUUUGUACAAAUGACCAAUGAAAAAGAUCUCUCUAUCGAUUUUUGAGGUCUUCUCAUUUUUAAAGACGGAAAGUUUAGUUUAAGUUUAUAUAACACAUCAUACAUUAAAAGUUAAAAUUGAUUGAUGAAGAAAUUUUCAUCGAUUUCUAAGGCCUUCCAUUUUAAUAAAAUUUAAGGGGUUAUUUAUUCCACUUUAGAAUAGUCAGUCCCUUGUAAAGUAUAUGUGUGUUGUUAGAUAUCCGAUAAUAGAUUGAAAGACCAAAUAGUAGAUAUUGAAUCCCUUUAAUUUUGAUUACUAUUUUUUUGAUGCAUUUUUUAUUUGAUUCAUGAAAAAUAAAUUGUACAAGGCUACAGGCAUGGCACAUAUUCAUGUAUUAUGAUAGUUAUAAUUGUUCCUUUUUCAUACCCAAAUGUAGGACAACUAAAAAGCAAUAGUGUAGAUAUUUUGUUAGUUAAUUUUUUAUUUUAUUUUAUUGCAUAAAUAGAGUUUAAAUAAAAAGUUGUAAAAGGGAAGUGAUGGCAACAUGUCCUAAAUUUGGUUUUCACCAAGAAAUCAUAUCUCAUUCUUGGUCAAAAAAUAAAUUAAGGAUUUGUUACCAUCACUCUCUUUUCCAACUUUUAUUUAAAAUCUGUUGUUUUGGUAAUAAAAAAAAUCAAAAAACUAACUAACAAAAUAUCCACACUGUUGAGUUUUAAUUAUCCUACAUCGAAGAACAAUUUGAAUUUUUAUUAUAAUUACAUGAAUAAGUGUUAUACUUAUAGCCUUGUAAAGUUAAUUUUUCAUGUAUAGAGAAGUAGUUAACUGCAAGCAAACGACCAAACCCUAUUAUGUUUUAUGCAUUUUUAGUAUAUCUUUUUAUUAUAUGGUUUAUUGUAUUUCAAAGUUUACAAUUAUUGCAGGACAUCUUUUUAUUUCGAUCCCAACAAACAAGUUUUACAAAAAAUAUUUUAUAUUGAGGGUGUCCUCCUCACUCUCCAACCGCACCAAAUCUUCACUCCCACAAAGUUUACUUUAUAUUUAUGGUGGAUCGUUUUGUAUAUCUUUGUUGCUCAUCAUGUGUUUGUGUACAAAUUACCUAAAAGGCAAUUAGGGUCAAAUCUUUCUAUAAUAGCAACAUUUGUUUAAAAGUUUUAUGAUUAUAUUAUAGUGAGAUAUUGCUAUAUAUGUAUAUUAGUCUUUAACGUUUAGAUCUUAUUUAGAUACUAUAAACAAAAGUAUGUAAAAUUAGAAAGGAUGUGAAUGUAAAGAAUGGCAAACACUUAUAGUCUUUCCCCGUGAAGUUAUGGCCAUG